GAAAGUCAGUUGUUGUAUUUUGAUAAAUAAUUACUAAUUCGGAAGAUGGUGAAGACAAUGAAUGAGAGUUUUUUAUUUUAUCAAAAUGACAGAGUGAGGGGUUAGCAUAAGCAGCGGCGAUGGGUAUCGGUUAUUGAUGCUGAUGUCAUUGGAGGAGGAGUGUCAUUCAAUGGAGGAGAAGAAGAGGAGCAAGGAGGGUAGGGGCAGGGACGGAGGUAGGGAGUUAGGUGGGGGGUUUCGGGAACCUAGU
rnacentral:lncRNA from 1 species